rnacentral:rRNA from 1 species
GAUGAACGCUGGCGGCGUGCCAAACACAUGCAAGUCGAGCGAAGCACUUUGCUUAGAUUCUUCGGAUGAAGAGGAUUGUGACUGAGCGGCGGACGGGUGAGUAACGCGUGGGUAACCUGCCUCAUACAGGGGGAUAACAGUUAGAAAUGACUGCUAAUACCGCAUAAGACCACAGCACCGCAUGGUGCGGGGGUAAAAACUCCGGUGGUAUGAGAUGGACCCGCGUCUGAUUAGCUAGUUGGUAAGGUAACGGCUUACCAAGGCGACGAUCAGUAGCCGACCUGAGAGGGUGACCGGCCACAUUGGGACUGAGACACGGCCCAAACUCCUACGGGAGGCAGCAGUGGGGAAUAUUGCACAAUGGGGGAAACCCUGAUGCAGCGACGCCGCGUGAGCGAAGAAGUAUUUCGGUAUGUAAAGCUCUAUCAGCAGGGAAGAAAAUGACGGUACCUGACUAAGAAGCACCGGCUAAAUACGUGCCAGCAGCCGCGGUAAUACGUAUGGUGCAAGCGUUAUCCGGAUUUACUGGGUGUAAAGGGAGCGUAGACGGAUGGGCAAGUCUGAUGUGAAAACCCGGGGCUCAACCCCGGGACUGCAUUGGAAACUGUUCAUCUAGAGUGCUGGAGAGGUAAGUGGAAUUCCUAGUGUAGCGGUGAAAUGCGUAGAUAUUAGGAGGAACACCAGUGGCGAAGGCGGCUUACUGGACAGUAACUGACGUUGAG